UCUGCAGCUCCGUAAGCUCUGGCAUGCUCUCUGAAUCCCCUCUGAGAAACUUCCAAGUGCAGCUUGUCUUGCCUCACAGUGCUGCACAGGCUGCUCCUCUCAGUGUGGAAUGCUCUUUGCCCUGCUCCUAAGGUGGCAGCUGUGGAGAUAUUAAAUGGCCAAGUCCAUGAAGUUACCUAAAGAUGGAGGAAGACGAGAUACACCUAUGGAGAGGAGAAGAGGAAAGAAGCUUGUACAUUCUAGAUACUUUGGGAUUUCUUGUACCCAACACAAGGAAGAUGUCUGGACUCCCUAGCCUGAACUCCAAGGCCACUGUAGGUCUCCGAGAAGAUAAAAAGACUAAGAAUUCAAGCCGCCACCAUCACCUGGGAGUCCAGCUACCAACGCACGUGGAAACUAUCCAUGGAGACCCCAGGUUCAGUCUGCAGCAUGGCCACAUAGUUAUUCUUCACUAAAAUAACAUCUGGCUUUCAUUCUUUAAUGACAACUCAUUUGGACAGGAC